AGAAUUUUAAGUUAAACAAACUAAUAGCCUUCAAAGCUAUAAAUAAGACCGCCCCUUAAAUUCUG
rnacentral:tRNA from 1 species